rnacentral:lncRNA from 1 species
UCUUUCUGCCAGUCUUGGGUAAAGGUUAUGUGCUCCGGGAAGAUUUCCCUGUCCUCAACUCAGGCUCUCCAUCGAGAUCCUAUUUUCAAGCAUGUCUUCCCCGCUCCUAGCGCCCUCUACUGGCCUAGAGAGGCACUGAUUCUAUUGAUUGUCUACUAGGUUGUGUCUUUCCUGCCUGGAUUUUCGCUCACUGUUUAAUUUCCACUGGUUGCUGAGCAAAAAGGGUGUGAAGAAAGGGCCUGGUGUGCCUGUAAAUAUGUUGUCCAUGCCACCCUGUCUAUCUGCCAUGCAUUUCUCAGGAACCACUUCUCAUGCUUGACUAGAGCUUAUUAUCACAGAAACAUUACAGAACAUUGUUUUCUCUGCUUUCACCCGAUGCGGCUGCUGCCCGGCCAUUGCAGCCACGGUAGGCGAUGCUGCCACAUUACAUUUUGGCCUGUUUACGGAGUCGGAAUGGGCACUUGCAACUGCUCAUUACAGUGAUGCAUCCGUCCUCACCAUGAAGCCUUGUGUUUCUCAGCAGAGCAUGACCACGUCUCCCAGGGAAUAUGGCCCUUUCCUCCUUUGUUCUAGACUGGCCUGAAGUUGAACUUGGACCCAGGAAGUGAUUGAGAAAAGGCUGGCAUUGGUUGGUGCCUGCUUCAGUCUCUGCUAGGAUGCAAUUGUGGCCUGGGGUGUUCCAAACUGUUGGAUGGAGGCAUGUUUAUCAUGCUGACAGACAUUUUCUUUGUGUCACGUUUAGUUCUUUGGGUCACCGAGAGAAUUUCCCAGAGGAUUUCUUCCAGGCUUUUAAGAAAAAGGAUUUAUUUUUACAAAAUUGGGAUUAUUAAAUAUACGUACAUACACACAUACCUAUAUAAAUAACUUGAUAUUAUUUUUCUUUCGUUUACUAUUAUAAGCAUGCCAUUAAUAACAAUGAAAAAAAAACUGUUCUUCAAUUAUAGAGCAACACCCACUCAUUGUAAUAAUCUAGGUGCUGUGGGAGAAUGGAGGGUAUUUAAGGGUGGCAGAGCAAAGGGGUGUCGACAGUCUACACCCAGGGAGCAGAGCACCAGUGAGCUAGGAAACGAUUGUUUUCUGACAUUAUGGUUAUUUUUAGGGAGAAUAAAACCAGAUGCAGAGUGCAUAGGGUAUAUAAUGGAGAGAGGAUAGAGUUGUUGGGAGGCGGAAGAAGGAGAGAGUGGUGGGCUACCAUGGCAGGCUAGGAUUAGACCCCAGAAAGGCCUGAAUGGAAUGCUGAGGAAUUUGAACUUUCUUCUCCAGAUAAAGGAUUCCACUCUAGACUUUGAUGACUUGAUAAAGUGAGCAGAGGUAGACUUAAGGAAAUUCACAGCAUUCUUGGUUCAUGUGGAUCACUUUUGCCUAUGUGCCCCAGGGUGCCAUGAGGCUUACAUGAGAUGAAACGCUGAUUAUUUUAAAAAUUCUUUAAAAAUUCUUUUUAAAAUCACACAAAAAGUUAGCAAGCAAAGGGAACCACUGGCAGCAGGGUCAAUGCACUAUGCAAAACAGAUACUAAUUCGCCCAGUUAAGUGCUCCUCCUUGGAGUUACUCUGUGAAGACUCAUUCUCAAGUACAACAGAGCAGCUAAAGAAACUGCCGCGCAUGACAGCUGCCUUCACUUCUGUGUGGCCCUUAAGAUCCUAGCCCCACAUCCUAGACAUCUCACUGUGGAUAAAUUGCUUAACCUUCCAAGAAGCUAUU